UACAGAGGUCACAAGCGUUGUUCGGAUUCACUGGGCGUAAAGGGUGCGUAGGCGGUCGGGUAAGUCUGAUGUGAAAUCUCCAAGCCUAACUUGGAAACUGCAUUGGAUACUAUCCGGCUCGAGGAAUGGAGGGGAGACUGGAAUACUUGGUGUAGCAGUGAAAUGCGUAGAUAUCAAGUGGAACACCAGUGGCGAAGGCGAGUCUCUGGACAUUUCCUGACGCUGAGGCACGAAAGCCAGGGGAGCAAACAGG
rnacentral:rRNA from 1 species